AAGUCGUAACAAGGUCUCCGUUGGUGAACCAGCGGAGGGAUCAUUACUGAGUACUACACUCUCUACCCUUUGUGAACUAUUAUACCUGUUGCUUCGGCGGCGCCGCAAGGGUGCCCGCCGGUCUCAUCAGAAUCUCUGUUUUCGAACCCGACGAUACUUCUGAGUGUUCUUAGCGAACUGUCAAAACUUUUAACAACGGAUCUCUUGGCUCCAGCAUCGAUGAAGAACGCAGCGAAACGCGAUAUGUAAUGUGAAUUGCAGAAUUCAGUGAAUCAUCGAAUCUUUGAACGCACAUGGCGCCUUCCAGUAUCCUGGGAGGCAUGCCUGUCCGAGCGUCGUUUCAACCCUCGAGCCCCUGUGGCCCGGCGUUGGGGAUCUGCCACGGCAGGCCCCUAAAACCAGUGGCGGACCCGAAGGGCCCUCUCCUUUGCGCAGUAGCAUUCGCCUCGCAUCGGGAGUCCUCGGCGUCCUGCCUCUAAACCCCCACAAGCCCGCUUCGGCGGCACCAAGGUUGACCUCGGAUCAGGUAGGAAUACCCGCUGAACUUAA
rnacentral:rRNA from 1 species